rnacentral:lncRNA from 1 species
UAGAAUCGCUCUGUUCUCGUGGCGUGGUUUUUUUUUUUAUUUUUUUUAUUUUUUUCGCAUAUUAAUUUUUUGUUUGAUCGCGUAAAUAGGGAGGACUUGAAUUGAAAAUCGAAAUCGAAAGACAUUGUUCGUCUUUAUCUCAGUUUGGUGGAACCACAAUCUCCUGGACUAUCACCAUGGGGGGACCGUUUUUCUCUACACCUUUUCAGCCUUAUGUAUACCAGGUACUCUCCUUACUUCCCACGAUGAAUUUAGUUUUCCCUUUUAUUCUCUCUACUUGCUGUUUGGUUGAUCAGAAAAUUGAGUGGAACUUAAACAACAAUUGCUUUUUUAAAAAGGUCGUUUUACGUGUUUUUGAUAAUGAAUUUACUCUGCAAGUAAUUUGAUUUAUUCUUUUAAUAAUUUCAUUUGUUGUGUUAAGUGUUAGCUGGCUGAAUUUGGGGUUUUGUUCUCAUUUUGGCGUUUGAUUGUCUGUGCAUUGCUGAAGAUCGACUUUUGUUGGUCUGCUGGCUAGGGUUUAACCUGGUGGAAGUCGAUGUUCUGUCGUAUCCGCAAAAUUUGAUAUCAGUGCGCAUACAUUUUAGUGCUUUCUGUUGAUUGCUAGUUGUGUUUCUAUAGAGCGCAUGGGAUGCUGUCCCUCAGGACUUUCAACUACUCUGAAUGACCAAACACGAAAUCAUAUAAUCAACUUGUAUGGGCAAUAUGCGUGGGGCCUACUUCCUCUUCUCAGGGUCUUGUAUGUCCCGAAAAGAAAGUAUAGCAUAGAGGAAUGAGUCUUCUUUUUUGUCAUGUAGUAAGUGAUAGAAGAGGUGAGGAUGAAGAGAAGAGAGAGGAAAUACAGUUUUACACAAUGUAGUAAGUGAUAAACAAAAAAUGAAGAUGAAGAGAAGAUAGAGGAAACAGUUAUAUUCCUCAACUUUUAUACUUCAAAUGGAUUACAGCCACGUGGAAGGGAAUGGUAGUUCAUUAGUAUGCAUUUUAUCAAAUUCCAUAAAUGAUAAUUUACUAGUAUGCCUACUGUGAAAUUUAACAAAGUUGAUAUGCCCACGUUUAUGGUAUAUGGCCGCAAAUCCUGCCACUAAAUUAAAAUUCUCUAGCAG